UACGGUUCAUUAGUCACCCGAAUUAAUUACCUGAAUUCGUUAAUAAUAAUGCUGAUGCUGAUGACGAUGAUGAUGAUGAUUAUAAAAGGAAAAAUAAUCGCGAGGCAAAGAAAAUUUGUUCAACUAUUGAAUAAUGUGGAUCAUGACGAUAAAUGGAUAAUUUGAAGAUGAUUGCAUAAUUUGAAAAUUUGUUCAAGUUAAAAGACACAAACUUAUGAGAUGC